UACGUAGGUGGCGAGCGUUGUCCGGAUUUACUGGGCGUAAAGAGCGCGCAGGCGGUCGUACAAGUCGCGUGUGAAAGCCCCCCGGCUCAACUGGGGAGGGUCACGUGAUACUGUUCGACUCGAAGGCAGGAGAGGGAAGUGGAAUUCCCGGUGUAGUGGUGAAAUGCGUAGAUAUCGGGAGGAACACCAGUGGCGAAGGCGACUUCCUGGCCUGUUCUUGACGCUGAGGCGCGAAAGCUAGGGUAGCAAACGGG
rnacentral:rRNA from 1 species